AUUGAACGCUGGCGGAAUGCUUUACACAUGCAAGUCGAACGGUAGAGGGGGCAACCCCUCGAGAGUGGCGAACGGGUGAGUAAUAUAUCGGAACGUGCCCAGUCGUGGGGGAUAACGUAGCGAAAGUUACGCUAAUACCGCAUACGAUCUAAGGAUGAAAGCGGGGGAUCGCAAGACCACGCGCGAUUGGAGCGGCCGAUAUCAGAUUAGGUAGUUGGUGGGGUAAAGGCUCACCAAGCCAACGAUCUGUAGCUGGUCUGAGAGGACGACCAGCCACACUGGAACUGAGACACGGUCCAGACUCCUACGGGAGUCAGCAGUGGGGACUUUUGGACAAUGGACGCAAGUCUGAUCCAGCCAUUCCGCGUGCAGGAUGAAGGCCCUCGGGUUGUAAACCGCUUUUGUACGGAACGAAAAGGUCUCUCUUAAUACGGGGGACUCCUGACGGUACCGUAAGAAUAAGCACCGGCUAACUACGUGCCAGCCGCCGCCGUAAAAC
rnacentral:rRNA from 1 species